CCAUAGCAUUCAAUAUCAGAACGGUAUCUAUCUACGCCGUCCUCCGUCCUGCCGGCGAAUCCGGUCAAGUUGCUCUGUGUUAAGUCCCUCCCCCAGGCAGAUACAAUGAAACUGCCAAUAAACCUUGAGGAACGUCUUAAGGAAAAAAUAUACGGUCUACAUGUAAUUGAAACCCAGGAUAGUAGUCUCCGUCUCCCGCACCGUGUCGGCUCUCGUAACUUCGCAGCACGCUGCCGACAGCUACUUCUCCAAUCUGGCCGUGGCGCAUGCUAUCCUAUCCCUGACAGUACGUCGCUGGUGAGCCCUAACUUGGACACCGAUUGCAAGGACAGGGCGGACAAAGGAUGAACUUCUGUAGGCUUCAGUCAGCGCGAAAUGUGGAGGCGGAAUACCCCAUCAUUUGGGCUUGUUGCCGUUGGGCUACAUCGCCGAGGUAUACUGGCCUAGGCAACUCUGUCUAUCCGUCUUCAUGGCACCAACGCCUUCACAUUUCAACCGGUAUUCCAGGUCCAUCAGGGCCUCUAACGAUAUCUCAAGUUCCCCGGUUGUUUUGGACUAAAGCUAUUGCCGAUCCGUAGGCAUGUGAACGCCUUCGUGCCACCGGCUGACGUUCAACGGAGGGCUGCAGAGCGGUCACGAUGCGGCGGAGGGUCAGGCCCAGGAUACGGAUGGGAAAGAGUAGGAUAGAAGUGUAGACCCCCAGGAUAAGAAUGGGGCCCAGGAUGGCGGCAUGUUUGGAGGGGUCGACGCCAACCCGCCAAGGAUGAGGAGGAUGGCGGAGGGGGAUGAUGCAGCCACCAGGAUGCGCUCGAAAGUAUGAAAAGAGAGUGUGGGGGGCGGGCCGUAGAAUGUAUCCAACCGACAGGAUGCGUGGCCAAUCCCCCCAGGAUGCGAGGAUGGGGCACCGCUCUGCACUUCGUCUGGGAAUGUCACGCCCUUGUUAGGCCCCGUUGAGGGGCCCCAGGCCGAGGUCAUUGACCUUUAAGGAUGAAGGCGGAUACCCCAACACAUAUUCAGUACCGCCAUUGUUGAGAUCUCAUUUGAGAGUUCGGGAUUGCCAUGCAGCAGGAUUUGACCAGUGUGACACAAUUAGGCCACGCUUUAGGCCUUUUCUUCUUCCGUCAUGUUUUCCGUAUGCUUCGGGAGCAAGUAGUUGCGAUUGCUGUGCGUUGACAACUUAGAGGGCCUAUGGUAUUGCAUCGAGACAACACGCAGCAGAGGGGUCAGGACCUUCUAAUAACGUAACGCAUUAUACGGUUAUCCAUGAGUUAACGUAGAACAUAGUCCACAAUGACUAGGCGCACUCAAGGGACGUA
rnacentral:lncRNA from 1 species